UACGGAGGGUGCGAGCGUUAAUCGGAAUUACUGGGCGUAAAGCGCGCGUAGGCGGUUUGAUAAGUCGGGUGUGAAAGCCCCGGGCUUAACCUGGGAAUUGCAUUCGAUACUGUCUGACUCGAGUCUGGGAGAGGGAAGCGGAAUUCCGGGUGUAGCGGUGAAAUGCGUAGAUAUCCGGAGGAACAUCAGUGGCGAAGGCGGCUUCCUGGCCUAAGACUGACGCUGAGGUGCGAAAGCGUGGGGAGCAAACAGG
rnacentral:rRNA from 1 species